CAGUCGCCACGGUAAUACGUAGGGGGCGAGCGUUGUCCGAAGUUACUGGGCGUAAAGCGCGCGUAGGCGGCUUCUUAAGUCUGAGGUGAAAGGUUCAACGCUUAACGUGAACAGUGCCUUGGAUACUGGGGAGCUUGAGUAUGGGAGAGGGCAGUGGAAUGGCUGGUGUAGCGGUGAAAUGCGUAGAUAUCAGUCGGAACACCCAUGGCGAAGGCAGCUGCCUGGCCUAAUACUGACGCUGAGGUGCGAAAGCGUGGGGAGCGAACGGGAUUAGAUACCCCCGUAGUCCCUGUCUCUUACA
rnacentral:rRNA from 1 species